GUUGGGGUGCGCGCGGACCCGGCACCCACGGCGGCGGCGGCGGCAGCAGCAGCAGGAGGAGGAGAAAGACGAGGAGGAGGAGGAGGACUAGCUGAGCGGCGCCUCCUUCCCAGCCCGCAGCGCGCACUGGCUCCUUGGGGCACCCCCGGGAGAGCACCAAGACCGGAGACUAGGCGGCGACACAGAUAAAGAAACUAAGCCCUAGAAGAGGAACUCUGCCAGUCUAUUUACAAAGCCUGCACUGAAAGCUAGACCAUAUACUCUUUGGAGAGGGAUGAUGUGACCAGCUCAUAGACUAGGGCCUAUACCAUGUAAUAGUGCCUGAGAAGAAAACAGAACUGCCAGCAGACUAUGGGACAAACGACUAAAUGCCCUCCAGACGUUCCAGAGUCCUCUGCCUCUCAGGCUUCAGUUCUUCCUGAAGGAAUCUGGAGCUGGAAAGCAGGAAGCAAUUUGCUGUGGAAUUUUUUCCAUCACAGACUCCAAGUUCCUCAGCCUUUGGACUCUUGAACUUACACCAGUGUUUUGGCAGGAGCGCUCGGG
rnacentral:lncRNA from 10 species